rnacentral:rRNA from 1 species
UACAGAGGUGGCAAGCGUUGUUCGGAAUUACUGGGCGUAAAGCGCGUGUAGGCGGUCCGGUAAGUCCGCUGUGAAAGUCGGGGGCUCAACCCUCGAAUGCCGGUGGAUACUGUCGGGCUAGAGUGCGGAAGAGGCGAGUGGAAUUCCUGGUGUAGCGGUGAAAUGCGCAGAUAUCAGGAGGAACACCAAUUGCGAAGGCAGCUCGCUGGGACGUUACUGACGCUGAGACGCGAAAGCGUGGGGAGCAAACAGG